CAAGUGGGAGAACACUUGUUUGGCUAAGGCAAUAUUCAGGCCUGUUUGCACACUUAUUAUUUUCCUGUAGAAACUCAGGAGCAGAUUGGCACAUGGUGUUUCUCCUAAAGCCUCCAAAGCUUUAAAAAAGGAAAUACUUUUCACCAGUAGUUGUGUGGUCCCAUGGUCAAGCAGGUCCUGGAUGCUAUGCUGUUGAAAACGGAUCUUCCUUGCAAUGUUCCCAGGGCCAUGAGAAAGCCCACGUACGUGUGGGAUCUCAUUGCAGGGACCAACGAAACCUGGAGCAGCCUGGGCUGGGAGUCCAUCACUGUUGUGCAACCCAUGGCCUGUGCUUGUUUUGAUGGUGUGUGAUGAGCAGAGGGGCAUCACAGAAACCAUGCAGAACCUUGAAAGAGAAGGUUUUAAAUCACCCCUUGUGCCGUACCUGAAGGAUGUUCUGCAGUUGCUGAGUGGUGCAGUGGAUGACAAGGAGCUGAACUGAAGAACUUGCACCUCUGAGGAGCUUUCCACAGUGAUGCUUAACAAAUGUGAUAAAGCACGCAACGUUUGAAGCUGCUCCAAAUAAUCCUUCACUUGGGGAGUAAAGAAAUGCCAGACUUCUCUUCCUAUUUCAAUGCAUGCCGUGAGCUCUGUGAUACAGAAAUGGGGAAGAGCAAGGACUCUUUCCUUCUCUGUACCUGUAGCAUCUCCUUACAGAUGUUGCUUUUGGAAGUUGAUUUAUAUAGCUCCUUACUAGCUUCAUUUUCAGCUGAAUUUGCUGCGUGAGAGGGGCAAAGCUGUACACAAGAGACUAGUUAAACAGAGAUGUGCAAAAAAAUAACAGUACAAUAUUUGGAUUGCUUUCUAACACUUGAAAAUGAAGGCUCAGAUUCCUUAGUUCUUAGUCGAGCUCUUUGCUCAGGUCAAACUGAGGCCAUGAAUAAACUGUGUUGGUAGGAUUUUUCCAUGUCUGUUCAGAAGAGACAGCACUUGUCAGGAGAGCACGUUUUUGAGCAGUGUCAGUUCUUUGUCUUGUUUUGUGUCGUUGUGUGUAACCUCUCAUCUUUUUGUCAUUCCCGGAGCAUGUAGGGAUCCUGUCUGGUGUUAAUGUUCUGUGUACUGCCCAAACACUUUAGUAGAUGUGGGAAUCAUCACGUGAAGCCCAUGGGGGACCUGUCUGAGGGCAGGGACUGCUGCCCACUAAUGCUGGGUCUGUGCGUUCCUGGGUCACCUCCACUUCCAACGUGACGCAGGUCAGGAUGGAUGUUUGUCAGACUGUGCUCAUAAUU